ensembl:lncRNA
CCUACCCUUCCCCUGUUGUAUGUCCUGACCCCUCCCCUGAAGGGGCUCUCGGAGUCUGUUUCCCUCCCGUGCAGUUGUUUCCCUGUCAUCUUCCUACUUCACCUUGCAAUAAACUCAAGGAACUCCAGCAGCCCAAGUGUCCUCUGGUCUCCAGGGUGGAAGAUCAGAUUUCACUGCCCGAGGCCCCUUAGACCGCUCCCUCAGAGACUCCCUGUGGGACCAAAGGUCCAGGGUGCCUUUAGUCUAGCAGCUUUUCAGACUUUCUUUCAUCUUAGAGACCUUACUUAGAUCCAUCUCAAUCAGCUGAGCCUCUGCUGCCAUCAAAACCGAGAGAAAUAACAUUUCUUUAGCAUUGCUUAGAAACACAGCAGAUAGAACGAAACUGUGCAUUCCCAAUGAACGAAGGAAUUAUGUCCUAUCCACCUUCAGUAAGUCACCAAGACCAAAAUCUCUUCAGAGCAUCUCAUUUACUUUCAGCCUUGCACAGUGAGCCCUCAGCUCUCAUGGAUCAGCACUGUGGGAGGUGCCCAAGGGAAGCCCGGCCAUGGCACUCCGGCUCCGGCCUGCUCGCCAUGGUGGCCACGGGGCACAGGUUGGAGUGGAACUUGCAGGGCCCUUCCGAGCCCGUGCAUUCUGUCAUUUGUGACAUCACAGCCUCUGGGGACAGCAGGGUGGCUGGCAAGUGCCCCCAGCCGUUCCGUGCCCAGAGCCCCUGCAGACCUCGGUGUGCAGAGACGUCCAGAGCCUGUGUGGUGGUGGCAGCUCCUCCUGCGCACCACCAUGGCUGGCCAGGGCGGCUCCUGGAUGCUGCAGGUGUACCUGCUGGCGCUCCUGGUCCAUCCCCUCGACCCCUCCAGCCGUCCUGAGCGGGGCACCUCGGGCCUGCUUCCCAAGGAGCUGGAGCUGCAGGACACGGCCAAUGAGGCCGGCCCGUGGGGGGACCUGGCGCUGCUGUUCUGGACCUGCUUCCUGGGAGACGUGCUGGUCGCGGGCGUCGUCCUGGGCUGCUGCUGCCUUGGCAGAAGGUUCUGGAGACGCCGCAGAAAGGAGCAGAGCCGGGACCAUUCGGGCCGUGCCGGAGCCCGCUGCCGCUGCUGCCGGGGCCGCGGCUGCCCACGACGCUGAUGCAGCUGCUGAGGCAGAACCGCGCCCUGCUGCAGCUGUGCCUGAACCACCCGCCCCGCAGGGCCCCGGGCCGAGGGAGAAGCGCCGGGGCCGUCGGAGAGAGGAGAGUCCGGUCCCACUCAGCGCCGAGUUCCAUCGCGGCGCGGAGCUCCGGGGCAUGUGUGACCAGCGGCAUCCCCAUCUCCAGAGCUGGAGACACCCCAGCCUCAGUCCAGCGUUUCCCGAAACCUCUCCACAAGAAACUGACAUUUCCUUUAGUAUUCCCCUUCUAGAAGUUCAAGUAGUUUAGGCAUAAGAUUCUUACCCUGUAGUAUUCUAUGUAUUUUAGGCAUAAGAUUCCUACCCCGUACUGUUCAAGUAUUUUAGGCAUAAGAUUCUUACCCCGUAGUGUUCAAGUAUUUUAGGCAUAAGAUUCUUACCCCGUAGUGUUGUAGUAUUUUAGGCAUAAGAUUCUUACCCCGUAGUAUUCUAGUCCCCCUGUUGUUAUAAAUGAAUUUGUUUCAGUAGGCAGGAUUAAGGAUAGUUAAUUGUUGUAAAUAAAUUGUUAGUGUAAUGAAUUGUAUUAUAAUGAAUUGUUAAAAUUAAUAUAAUAAAUUAAAAAGUUAUAUGAAUUGUUAGUUAUGUGUGUGUAGCUGUCAAUGCAGAGAAAGGGGAAGGGCUGUAUCCAAGAGUGAAGAAACCAGCUCAACUUGUGAUUGGGAGAGCCAACCAGGCAAUGGUGCCUUAAGCUCCUGGAAUGAUUGGCCAGGAAUGCACCACCGUACACGAAGGGACCAGAGGUGGUGGUUUGGUUGGGACAACAUUCUGGCUUGC